rnacentral:tRNA from 1 species
AGGGGAGUAGCUCAACUGGCUAGAGUAGCGGUCUCCAAAACCGUUGGUUGCGGGUUCGAGUCCUGCCUCCCCUGCCA